rnacentral:lncRNA from 1 species
AGGUUUGGCUCAAGUCCUCAGCAGCAUUGCUCUUGCUUAAUGUGAAACUUGGAAGCAACCCUGGGUAAACAAGCCAGGCUAAUAUUCUACAGGCUGAUCAUAACUACUUGAAGGAGAAGAAGACCAACUGAACUGCUGUAUGAUACCGCAUUAUCCAAGUCAGUCUAACAGGGAGACCGUGGGAAUGGAUGGACCUCAUGCUGGAUGCCUACAUGGAUGUGGGGGUUCCAGGCCCUUUUGGGAAGUGCAAUGCUGCAAAGGAUUUAGUACAUCACUGAAGUCAAACAUGGCUACGAAUCAGAUUCACUGCGUGUGACAGAAGACGAGUAAGCUAAGCUCUGUUUCGGUGCUCUUGGAUGAGGUGACAUCACUUAUGUACUAUCUGAACCAUCUGAAACGUCUCUAAUAAUGAUAAAAGCAUUUUAGGCUGGAAAAGAUCCUGAAGAUCAUUGGGUCCAGUCAUCCACCUAACUACCAAGUCCAGCACUUAACAGAAGCUGACUGCUCUGCCUGCUCAAAGCCAUCCUACACUCGACAGCAGCAGCUGGCCACAAGUCUUCAGCCAGAACAACCAUUAAAUUACACCAACAAUGACUGAAAUUGCUAACAAGCCAUCCUCCCCACCAGAGAGGGGAAGGGACCGUGACUAGGGGUCUCCAGGCUAUAAAUGAGCCAUGUUGUGACUCGAGAGCCAGACUGCUCUGCCCUACCUGCAGCACACCUGGCCCACAGACCUUCUUGCCUCCAGCAGGAAAGGCCCACUCAUCUGCCCUUCUCCACCCAACACUUCUCUAGCCGAAAGCUCCGGGUGUUUUGUGGUGCAAAAUUGUUCA